GGUAGGUCAAACAGACGAGCGGUUUGAAAGAUACGAAAGUUUUCGUGUCAAAAACGGCAAAAAGGAAAGGAAUGAUGCAGGGGCCACCGUAACUUACGGUGCCACCGUAAGUUACGGUGGACAUGAUUUGGUUACGGUAAAUGCCUACUGUUGUACGGUUGAAUAAUUGAAACACAGAGACCACCGUAACUUACGGUGCCACCGUAAGUUACGGUGGAGGUCAGAAAUGAGUGAAUGUCGAGGGUCCCGGAUGAAGAUCGAGCAUCGAGCAAGAACCGAACACACACUAAAUAAAGCUUCCGCAACGUUGUUUUGUCGUUAUUCUAAACGGUGAUUUAAAUCACAUUAUGUAUAUCACUUAAAUUGUAAAAGUUUUUAAUAAACCCGCAUUUUGUACAGUAUGUGUGGUCUUAACUACACAUCUAAUUGUGGUAUUUUCAUGUAAAAUUGGAAUU
rnacentral:lncRNA from 1 species